rnacentral:miRNA from 1 species
GCUAUGUAUCAAGCAAUGCUA